rnacentral:rRNA from 1 species
GCAAUCUGCCCUUCACUUCGGGUCGAGCCCUGGAAACCGGGUCUAAUACCGGAUAAUACCUCUCUCCUCAUGUGGGGAGGUUGAAAGCUCCGACGGUGAAGGAUGAGCCCGCGGCCUAUCAGCUAGUUGGUGGGGUAAUGGCCUACCAAGGCGACGACGGGUAGCCGGCCUGAGAGGGCGACCGGCCACACUGGGACUGAGACACGGCCCAGACUCCUACGGGAGGCAGCAGUGGGGAAUAUUGCACAAUGGGCGAAAGCCUGAUGCAGCGACGCCGCGUGAGGGAUGACGGCCUUCGGGUUGUAAACCUCUUUCAGCAGGGAAGAAGCGCAAGUGACGGUACCUGCAGAAGAAGCACCGGCUAACUACGUGCCAGCAGCCGCGGUAAUACGUAGGGUGCGAGCGUUGUCCGGAAUUAUUGGGCGUAAAGAGCUCGUAGGCGGCUUGUCACGUCGGUUGUGAAAGCCCGGGGCUUAACCCCGGGUCUGCAGUCGAUACGGGCAUGCUAGAGUGUGGUAGGGGAGAUCGGAAUUCCUGGUGUAGCGGUGAAAUGCGCAGAUAUCAGGAGGAACACCGGUGGCGAAGGCGGAUCUCUGGGCCAUUACUGACGCUG